rnacentral:tRNA from 2 species
GGCCCCAUCGUCUAGCCUGGUCCAGGACGUCAGGUUCUCAGCCUGUAAACACCGGUUCAAAUCCGGUUGGGGCUACCA